rnacentral:misc_RNA from 1 species
GUGAAAUACUGUGUGGUGGAUGCCUUCACUGACACAGCAUUCAAAGGGAACCCAGCUGCUGUUUGCUUAUUGGAAGAAGAGAAAGAUGAUAAAUGGUUACAAUCUGUUGCUGCUGAGUUUAAUCUCUCUGAAACUUGUUAUCUCAUUCCGCUCAUUGAACCUGCUAACACAAUCCCCAGAUUUGGCCUUCGUUGGUUCACUCCUGUUGACGAGGUCGAUUUAUGUGGGCAUGCAACGCUAGCAGCAGCACACUUUCUAUUUUCGUAUGGCCUGGUUAAAACUGAUACUAUUGAGUUUUCAACAAGAUCAGGAAUUUUAAUUGCCAAAAAAGUACCAGAACCAAAAGUUUCAAAUUCUCAGGACGAUUGGCCAACUGGUUACUCAAUUGAAUUGGAUUUUCCUGUUGUCCAAGUAGCCGAGACCAAUUUUAAUGAUGUUCUUGCAAUUUCAAAGAGCUUGAAUGGCGCAUCUGUGGUUGAGAUCUAUGAGACAUCAAUGGGUGAUCAUUUUAUUUUGCUCCCAUCAGGGGAGGAAGUGGUCGAAUGCCAACCUCAGAUUGAUCUUAUACAAAACUGCCCAGGCAGAGGAAUAAUCAUAACCGGACCUGCUCCACAGGGUUCCGGCUUUGAUUUCUAUAGCCGUUUCUUCUGCCCAAAGUUUGGAAUCAAUGAGGAUCCUGUUUGUGGAAGUGCUCAUUGUGCCUUGGCUCCUUAUUGGCGCAAAAAGCUUGGCAAAUGUGACUUUGUUGCUUUAGCGGCCUCACCUAGAGGUGGCGUCGUGAAACUGCAUCUAGACGAUGAGAAGCAGAGGGUAUUUCUGAGAGGGAAAGCUGUGGCAGUCAUGGAAGGUUCUCUUCUAGUCUAAUGUUAGCAGUUGAAAUGGUCUUUGGUAUGAGUUCAGUGUGACUUCUGCAGCAGUCUUCUGUUAUUUAUGUUUCCAGUGUGUUUAAACAUCUGCUCUGUGUUUUUCCUUCACUAAUAAACAUCUCCAGUUUCUCAACCAUCACCAGUUCAUUAGCCUACAAGUAGUGCAAGUGUUUUGGUUAAUGUGAAAUUGUGGAAAGCUA